rnacentral:misc_RNA from 1 species
AGUUGGACAUUUGCUCAACUGCGAGACAGCAGACAUUUUUCACGAUGGUGUUGCGAGUGACGGUGAAAUGUGUCCUCUUUACAAUCUUGUCAAGUUUAUUAUUUUUCGGUACAAGUUAUGGUGAGCCAGAAGUGACGAUUCUUCAGGGUAACCUGCUGGGCACGACUAUCACCACUAGAAACAAUCGGAGCAUUUCCGCUUUCCUCGGGAUUCGGUAUGGCGAGCCACCGAUUGGAAAUCUCAGAUUCGCGAACCCCGUGGCAGCCGGAGCUUGGAACGGGACUCUAAAUGCCACUGCAGAUGGAAACGAAUGUCCCCAGGCAUUUGGUAGCACAUUGGGCAGCGAAGAUUGUCUGUACCUCAACGUUUACACGCCACAGCUUCCGGUAAACACAAGCACUCUGCUUCCGGUAAUGAUUUUCAUCCAUGGAGGAGCUUUUGUACUCGGCAGUUCAAGCUCUGCCACUUUUUCGCCAGACUACCUUUUGGAUUCUGGUAUCGUGCUCGCCCUGCCGAACUAUCGGAUCGGGGCUUUAGGAUUUCUGAGUACUGGCAACGAAGUGGCGGCUGGGAAUUGGGGGCUGAAGGACCAGAUCCUGGCUCUCAAGUGGGUGCAAAACAACAUCGAAUACUUUGGCGGUGAUCCUGAUCAAGUCACACUUUUUGGACAAAGUGCUGGAAGCGCUUCCGUUCAUCUCUUGUCACUCUCGAAAGCGGCGGAAGGACUGUUUCACAGAUACAUAACACAGAGUGGAUCGGCUCUGUCGACUUGGGCCCAUUUGCCCAGUGCAGGAUACGCAAGCCGUGCUUUUCAGCUCGGUGGCUACGUUGGCUGUGACAACGACACCUCGAGUGCCUUGAUCGAGUGUUUGCGAACCGUGAAUGCCUCGGAUAUCGUCGCCUCAGCCUCACAAUUCUACGUGUGGGAGUCGGUCCCACUUUUUGUGUGGGGCCCGACUGACGAGCCAGACAUCGAAGGCGCGGUGCUCACCGAUAGUCCUACGAACUUGUUUGCGACGGGCGAAUUCUGCGAUUUGCCUUGGAUGACAGGAAUCGUCCGAGACGAAGGGAUCUUGAUGACCGGAGCGUUGUAUAGCGACGAUGAAAAGUUUUAUGACUUUUUGGAUAACUUCGAUCUUGUGCUGCCCGAGAUGUUGAUCUGGAAUUAUCAGACAGACUCAGGAGCCGCUUGGGUCAAGGCUGUGAAGAACUUUUAUUUCAACGACGAUUUUACAACAAACUCGACUGAGCUGCUCACGAACCUAACUCGUCUCGUUGGCGACGCUAACUUCAUCUAUCCAACCUUGGACGGACUCCAACAGCAGCUUCCUCUGGCUGUGAAUCCCCAGUACUUUUACUUGUUCAAUUAUCGAGGGACCUACAGCCUCGCUGCGGGAAUACCCGACGCCGUUAUGCACACCGACGAUGUCAUCUACCUCUUUCCACUGAGGUCGAUCCUGGGAGGUGAUAAUUUGACCGACACUGAUUUCGAAAUGGUGGACAACAUGGUGCAACUCUGGACAUCAUUCGCGAUCAAUGGGACACCAACGGUCUUGGCUUCUGAGGAAAAUGUCACAUACACUGAAUACACGACGAUGGACAAUUAUCUACGAAUAGGCAACCAGUCUGAAGUUACACUGUCGAUGGAGUACUCUCUUUUUAAAGAGCGCAUGGAGUUUUGGGCGAAUUUGGUCCAUGCCGAAGCGUCUGCAGCUACCUUGAGGAACACCUCGGCCGGAACCUUGGCCCCUUAACUUAUCUGCUCAAAGCUCAUAUAACCGAUUUUGCGCUGGCAAAUGUACAAGGCUGGUCAAAACAAUGUUUGAAGUAGAUAAUUUAGAAAAAAUGAAGAAUGAACAAGUGCAGCUGUGGUUAGUCAAAUUGAAUUGGAUCAAAACGAUGUCGUCGCCUCAUUAUCAGAAAAAACCAGCGCAUGCAUACGAAGAGUUAAGUUAUCAACAGUUUUUUAGACAUCGCUAUACUAUUCUGGAAUUUUUGUAACUGAAAAAUGUUUGAUUUUUACGGGGCAGUGCUCAACUAAAAUAUAUGCGAAAAACGAAUUUAUUAUACCUGUUUUCGAAAAUGACGUUCAAUUCCAGUAGAUUC